UAGGGAAUCUUCCGCAAUGGACGCAAGUCUGACGGAGCAACGCCGCGUGAGUGAAGAAGGAUUUCGGUUCGUAAAACUCUGUUGUUAGAGAAGAACAGCGCAUAGAGUAACUGUUAUGCGUGUGACGGUAUCUAACCAGAAAGCCACGGCUAACUACGUGCCAGCAGCCGCGGUAAUACGUAGGUGGCAAGCGUUGUCCGGAUUUAUUGGGCGUAAAGCGAGCGCAGGCGGUCAAUUAAGUCUGAUGUGAAAGCCCCCGGCUCAACCGGGGAGGGUCAUUGGAAACUGGUUGAAUUGAGUGCAGAAGAGGAGAGUGGAAUUACAUGUGUAGCGGUGAAAUGCGUAGAUAUAUGGAGGAACAACAGUGGCGAAGGCGACUCUCUGGUCUGUAACUGACGCUGAGGCUCGAAAGCGUGGGUAGCAAACAGG
rnacentral:rRNA from 1 species